GAAUUAAGAAGGGGGCGGGAAAGAGUUUCAAAUAUUAUUUACCUGUAUAAAGGUGGAUGAUGGAAACAUUUAAUGAGCUUGUACUUGCACUCCGAAGCACAAGAUGGCGCCAUUGCGAUUGAGCCGCUCUCAGAGCAGCCGUUAGAGGACGAGGCAACGAGAGGGAGGAAGAGGCGAGAAGCGCCGUAAACGAACCGAAUUUGACCGUGUUGGUCUGAGUUAGCCGGUCAGAUCUGGGUUAAAAACAACGAUGGAGACCUUCAGCAGACGAGCUCUGGACAGGAUCUACUCUGCGGUGCUGAUGGCUGUCGUCGUCUUGUCCUGGACUUAUGUGAUCUACGCCAGCAGGAUCGCGUCUCAUUGGCUGCUGGAGCAGAGGACGGCCCCCCUCCGGCAACACUGACAGCUCAUUGGACGUCCUACUGGACCGUUCUGACCCUCGUGGGGUUCAGACCUCUCAGACUCGGCCCGUCAGACCUGAACAGACCGGACUGAGUGGACCAGGAGUGGACUGAACCUGCUGGACCCCUGAGGUUCAUCCUCUGAAGAGGUUUGAACGGGAACAAAGAGAUCUCUGUCCCUGAAAGACAGCGCUGGGAUUUAAACCGACUCUGAGCCGGUAGAGUCAGCUCUGUUUCAUGUUUAUGAUUCAUAUAGAUGAAGGAUCCUGCUCCAGAGCUAAAACCAAGCAGUGACUCCGGUCUGUGUGUGUUGGUGAUGAAUUAAAAUGUUAUUUUUUCAUA